rnacentral:rRNA from 1 species
AGUGAACGCUGGCGGUAGGCCUAACACAUGCAAGUCGAACGGCAGCACAGUAAGAGCUUGCUCUUACGGGUGGCGAGUGGCGGACGGGUGAGGAAUACAUCGGAAUCUACUUUUUCGUGGGGGAUAACGUAGGGAAACUUACGCUAAUACCGCAUACGACCUACGGGUGAAAGCAGGGGAUCUUCGGACCUUGCGCGAUUGAAUGAGCCGAUGUCGGAUUAGCUAGUUGGCGGGGUAAAGGCCCACCAAGGCGACGAUCCGUAGCUGGUCUGAGAGGAUGAUCAGCCACACUGGAACUGAGACACGGUCCAGACUCCUACGGGAGGCAGCAGUGGGGAAUAUUGGACAAUGGGCGCAAGCCUGAUCCAGCCAUACCGCGUGGGUGAAGAAGGCCUUCGGGUUGUAAAGCCCUUUUGUUGGGAAAGAAAAGCAGCAGGUUAAUACCCCGCUGUUCUGACGGUACCCAAAGAAUAAGCGCCGACUAACUUCGUG